rnacentral:rRNA from 1 species
UACGGAGGGGGCUAGCGUUGUUCGGAAUUACUGGGCGUAAAGCGCACGUAGGCGGACUGUUAAGUCGGGGGUGAAAUCCUGGGGCUCAACCUCAGAAUUGCCUCCGAUACUGGCAGUCUCGAGUGCGGGAGAGGUGAGUGGAAUUCCCAGUGUAGAGGUGAAAUUCGUAGAUAUCGGGAGGAACACCUAUGGCGAAGGCAGCUCGCUGGGACGUUACUGACGCUGAGACGCGAAAGCGUGGGGAGCAAACAGG